rnacentral:rRNA from 1 species
UACAGAGGUCUCAAGCGUUGUUCGGAUUCAUUGGGCGUAAAGGGCGUGUAGGUGGCGCCGUAAGUCGGGUGUGAAAUUUCGGAGCUUAACUCCGAAACUGCAUUCGAUACUGCGGUGCUUGAGGACUGGAGAGGAGACUGGAAUUCAUGGUGUAGCAGUGAAAUGCGUAGAGAUCAUGAGGAAGACCAGUGGCGAAGGCGGCCACCUGGACGGUAACUGACGCUGAGACGCGAAAGCGUGGGGAGCAAACAGG